rnacentral:rRNA from 1 species
UACGGAGGGUGCAAGCGUUGUCCGGAUUUAUUGGGUUUAAAGGGUGCGUAGGUGGCCCGGCAAGUCCGUGGUGAAAGCCUCCUGCUCAACAGGAGAACUGCCAUGGAUACUACCGGGCUUGAGUCCAGGCGAGGUUGGCGGAAUGGACGGUGUAGCGGUGAAAUGCAUAGAUACCGUCCAGAACCCCGAUUGCGUAGGCAGCUGACUAGGCUGGCACUGACACUGAGGCACGAAAGCGUGGGGAGCGAACAGG